rnacentral:rRNA from 1 species
GCUGGUUCUCUAGGGAGCAUGUGCACGCCUUGUCAUCUUUAUAUCUCCACCUGUGCACUUUUGUAGACCUUUCAGGUCUAUGUUUCUUCAUUUACCCCAAUGUAUGUUAAUAGAAUGUUGUGCCUAUAUAAUAUAUACAACUUUCAGCAACGGAUCUCUUGGCUCUCGCAUCGAUGAAGAACGCAGCGAAAUGCGAUAAGUAAUGUGAAUUGCAGAAUUCAGUGAAUCAUCGAAUCUUUGAACGCACCUUGCGCUCCUUGGUAUUCCGAGGAGCAUGCCUGUUUGAGUGUCAUUAAUAUAUAUAUCAAACUUCUCUUAUUGAGUGGUUUGGAUGUGGGGGUUUGCUGGCCUUUUUAAAAGGUUCAGCUCUCCUGAAAUGCAUUAGCAGAACAAACCUGUUCAUCGGUGUGAUAACUAUCUACGCUAUUGAAUGUGAGGGGCAGUUCAGCUUUCUAACAGUCCUUGGACAAUUCAUCAUUAAUGUGACCUCAAAUCAGGUAGGACUACCCGCUGAACUUAAGCAUAUCAAUAAGCGGAGGAA